rnacentral:lncRNA from 1 species
UGAAACACGUCGCAAUUUGGGACACUCGCAAAAUAAUUUGUUUUGCAUGAUGUACCACAAAAAAAAGGAAGCUAAAUAUAUUCUCGUCUCUUCCUCCUCAGCGUGGAUGAAUUGCCCUGAGUUUAUCGGAGAUGGAUCCAUAUUCUGAGAUGAGCCCCUAUGAAAGUUCAAUCCCUUAUAAUGGAGGGCUCAUGCUGAAUUUCAGAUAAGUUAUUUUUUGCUAAAUGCUGUCCCAUUAAGCUCAGAGCAACGAAUCUGUCGUAUCAGGCAAGAAAGUCGUAUGUGAAUUACGAUGUUUCAGUUUUUCAUCGCACGAAACAUUUUUCCGUAGGAAAAAAAUCGAGGUUUUUCUAGGAGAGCUUAUAUGUUAUUUUAGAUUGCAUAUUCAUGAACCUACCCUGAAAAUAUUACUGUCGAAUAACAUUUCAUUUUCUCGUGAAAAAAACACAUCACAUAGGAGAAUCUGAAACUCUGUAUACUGACCUGCGUGUUUAUUGCUCAGUACGGUGGCCCUAGUAUUAAAAAUAUGAGUCAAGCAGAAGGUUAUCUGAGCUCCAAAGUCGAGACGGACCGAUCGAAAAGCUUAUCACUCAAAACAUUGCGAUACGCCGCGGAAUCAGUCGCUUUCGUUGAGUGAAAAGGAAUCCACCGAAAAACCCGAGUUUCAGAUUUUAUAAGAUUUCGGUUCAAAUUUGUGUUUAAUUUUGAGUGAAUUUCGAGCCGGGAUGAAAUUAGUUCCGUUUCUGGCUGUCGCAGCGCUGGCGGUAAGCGCCGAGUGUCUGUCGCUCUUCGACCCGUCGCCGUCGUUCGACGAUUUUUCGCCGGAAUUGAUCUCGCCAGAUUCCUCAGAGGAAUGGGCCGCGACCAUGCCCGAUUCCUCCGAAGAAGUCCCGGAUUUGACCCCCGAUGAAGAUAUCCCUUCGGACUUGGUUUUUUUCCGCAGGGGCUCCGUUUUUAGGGCCGCAGCGCAUAGGAUGCCUCGCGUGGGUUUAAGGAGAGUGAUCAUGGUGUCCCUGGAGCCGUCCCGUGACGAGGACCAGUUUGGGUCCGAUGAAGAUGUGAGCCUUCCCUCGCCACCGGCGACACAACGUCCCUGGUCAGUCCCUAGGAGCAGGUGGCCCGUCACGGAUCUCUCGGCGGAAGAACCUGAUGCCCCCGUUUUUCCAGAGUUACCAGAGUUACCCCCGUUACCAGAGGUCACGAGAGAGCAAUUCGACUGGCCUGAAUCUGAGGAGAAAGAGUCGGACGAGUGGAGGUCUGAAUUUGGGAACUUGAAAAACCUGCGGAGACUCAUAGCAUCGCGCCUGGCUGAUGUUAGGGCGCCCCGCAGGGCGCCCGCAGAGUGGCCGCAAGAGCAUCUGAAGUGGCCGCGGGAGGUAGAGACGCCCAAAAAGCCCGCCAUCAUGCGCCCAGUUUAUCGUCUCUCCCCGCCCUGGCGCCACGCCCACGAGCGUGGCCUCGAGGAUCCGACAAGAGAGCUCAAGAAGGCUGAACAGGAACAGGAAUUGGAUCGAGAAGUCGAUGCUAUCAAAUACAAGUACCACCCCAACGUUGUCCAGAUUGUUUGA